rnacentral:lncRNA from 1 species
GGCUGACAAGACCUACAUGUUACGAGAAUAUACGUCACGAGAAAGCAAAAUUUCUAGUUUGAUGAGAAAUUGAAACCCAGAGGUGUGACUUACUCUGAGUCACAUAGCUGGCUGGUGAUGGAUGUUCUUUACACUUACCACCCUGCCGCCUUAUUUCUUUCUACAUAGUCUCCUUUUCUCUUCCGAAAAUGUGGUGAUUCUGUACCAUAAUUUGUUUGUUUUGGCAUCAUUUUUCUUUAUUUUUUACUCCCC